rnacentral:misc_RNA from 1 species
AACUGAUACUACCUGCGGGAACCUGCGGAGGGAUCAUUACUGAAGUGAUUUGGGGAUGUUGCUGGCCCUCUCUCAAGGGGGGGCACUGUGCACUCCUCGAAACAAUUCACAAUUUCCAUCACACCCCUUGUGCACACCUUGUAGGCACCCAAACCCACCUCCGGGUGGUGGGGUCCUAUGUAUUCCUUCAUCUCACACUCCGUUGAAUGGUGCCAUGGGACGCAUCUAAAGGAUUAUUUG